rnacentral:piRNA from 1 species
CUCUGUGUAUCCCUGGCUGUCCUGGAAAUC